GACGAACGCUGGAGGCGUGCUUAACACAUGCAAGUCGAACGAUGAAAUGGAGCUUGCUCCAUGGAUUAGUGGCGAACGGGUGAGUAACACGUGAAUAACCUGCCCUUAAUUUUGGAAUAACCCAGGGAAACCUGGGCUAAUACCGGAUAAGUAAACCUGUGGCAUCACAUGGUUUUGGAAAGUUUUUCGAUUAAGGAUGGAUUCGCGGCCUAUUAGCUUGUUGGUGAGGUGAUGGCUCACCAAGGCGACGACGGGUAGCCGGCCUGAGAGGGUGAACGGCCACACUGGGACUGAGACACGGCCCAGACUCCUACGGGAGGCAGCAGUGGGGAAUAUUGCGCAAUGGACGAAAGUCUGACGCAGCGACGCCUCGUGAGGGACGAAGGUCUUCGGAUUGUAAACCUCUUUCAGCAGGGACGAAGCGAAAGUGACGGUACCUGCAGAAGAAGCACCGGCUAACUAUGUGCCAGCCGCCGCCGUAA
rnacentral:rRNA from 1 species